GGGUUUGCUACCCCCGGAAAAAUAAUAGGUGCAAGUUGGUUAUAAGGGAUACGCUUGCCUGCGGUCUGUCAUCUGUUCCUUUUUCUUUUCUCGAGUAAAGUCCUGCCUGUUGUUGGACCCGGUGCUUGGUCGUAGCUUGCUGUUAGAUUUCCAAAGUCCAAUUGCUUUGUUGUGGUGGGUCCUUCUGGGUGGCUCAAGAUACUGGGUCGUCAGUUUCUCCCACAUCGU